CUCACUUUAGUGAAUAACUCUGCAAGUCAUAAGCAGAUCAGCUGUUCCUUUGCACCUCCGUGUUCUUCCAGUAUGAAACAGCAGGACAAUUAGUCUUUCCUCUUUUGAUUCAGUAACAGAUUAGCUCCACCAGUAAACCAGCAGAAAGAAGAUCACUAAAAUAUAUAAUCAUAACAACGUUAUAUGUUCAUAUAAAUCAUUGGUGAGAUCCAGCCUACAGCUUCCCAACCAUGGAAAUCAAAGGAUAAGCAGCCAGAUGUUGCCAGGAAAAAACAUUCCCCCAUAUAAUCUAAAAACGACAAACUGUGGCAGUAUUAACCAAUUAUACAAACCUUU